UUACGGCCACACCACGUUGAAACACCGAUUCCCGUACGAUCAUGGAAGAUAAACAACGUCGAGCCUGGUCAGUUCCUAGAUGGGUGACCGCUUGUGAAUGACAGGUGCUGCAA